CUGUUCUUCUCCCCGCCACUAGAUGGAAGGCACGUACCGCGAAAAAUGAAGCAACAAACCUUGUGAACAUGAGCAGCCAGGCAUCAGAGCGGUACUCCAUAGACCCUCCUCCUUCUCCUCCUCCCUGUUCUGUCAAGAUCCUGGUCACCACUGAACACAGCAGAACUACUCAGGUACCAGAUGAAUUCCCACAGUGAACAAGAGAGAGCACAAAUCUUCUCCCACAGCACUUGACACAGCUGCCUCAGCUUCCAUCUUCGUUGACUCUGGAGGCAGAAGCAGCUGUGUCAACUGUGGGGUCAACUGAAACACAGUCUGCAGAGACAGACAAAGCACAGGCUGCUAUGACCAUGGAACAACAGUCUGCAGUAAAAAACGAAGCACAGUCUGGGCUGAAGAUGGAAGCAGAGGCAGCUGUGUCAAGUGCUGUGUCGACUGAAACACAGAUUGCAGAGACAAAUGACGCACAGUCUGCAAUGACAAUUGAAGGCAAGUCUGCUUUGAAAAUGGAAGCACUGCCUGCAGUGGAAACCAACACACAGUCUGCGAAGACU